CCGUGCUCCACGGGGAAUUGCAAUCUCUUGACCCGAAGCUAAUGCGGGGUGCAGAGCCUGUUGUGAGGGUUCGGUAAAUAACUUUGAUAAAUAUAUUAUUGUUGACGUUUAAGUGCAUGAUGGCGUAAGCUAUCGAACCGUGUCAGGAUGGAAACAUAGCAGCACUAAGAUAAUACUUGCGGGUGUUAUGUAAUUAAAAAGAGAUAAUAUUUUUAAAGAUUUUAUUUACUUAAUUCGAUAGACAGUGGCACGG
rfam:Clostridium sp. CAG:768 genomic scaffold, scf21